rfam:Schistocephalus solidus strain NST_G2 genome assembly, scaffold: SSLN_scaffold0000524
GGCCUCGUAGCUCAGUUGGCUAGAGCGUUGGCUGAACUAAAGCCUUCCCUUUGCUGGCGUGGGUUCGAAUCCCACCGAGGCCG